rnacentral:tRNA from 1 species
GGGGCUGUAGCUUAGUGGUAGAGCACUCACCUAGCACGUGCAAGGCACUGGGUUCGAUCCUCAGCACCUCA